CAAAUUUUAAAUCUACCUGGUUUCCAGGUCGAGUUGUAAUUUGAAGAAGUGUUUUUUACUUUCCGGGUUGGGUUAAAUCCUUUGGGAUAAGGUAUCAUGGAGGGUGAGAAUCCCGUGUAUACCAACCGCAGGAUDGUUUAAUAUACACUUUCUAAGAGUCGAGUUGUUUGGGAAUGCAGCUCUAAAUGGGUGGUAAAUUUCACCUAAUGCUAAAUAUAAGCGAGAGACCGAUAGCGAACAAGUACCGUGAGGGAAAGAUGAAAAGAACUUUGAAAAGAGAGUUAAAUAGUACGUGAAAUUGUUGAAAGGGAAACGGUURAAGUCAGUCAUGCCGGCGGGAAUCAACUUAGGGGAAACUCUGAGUGCACUUCUUCGCUUGGCAGGUUAGCGUCGAUUUUGGAUGUCAUAAAAUGACUGGGGGAAGGUAGCUCUUUCGGGAGUGUUAAGCCCUURGUAGAUGUGAUGUCYGGGAUCGAGGAUUGCAACGGAUACCUUUUGGGCUARCCGCCUAGUCUCUAAUACGAAGUUGGGUUAUGGACAGCACGCUGACUGUGAUCUGAUUUUCGGUUAAAAGAU
rnacentral:rRNA from 1 species